AAAUUGAAGAGUUUGAUCAUGGCUCAGAUUGAACGCUGGCGGCAGGCCUAACACAUGCAAGUCGAACGGUAACAGGAAGCAGCUUGCUGCUUUGCUGACGAGUGGCGGACGGGUGAGUAAUGUCUGGGAAACUGCCCGAUGGAGGGGGAUAACUACUGGAAACGGUAGCUAAUACCGCAUAACGUCGCAAGACCAAAGAGGGGGACCUUCGGGCCUCUUGCCAUCGGAUGUGCCCAGAUGGGAUUAGCUAGUAGGUGGGGUAACGGCUCACCUAGGCGACGAUCCCUAGCUGGUCUGAGAGGAUGACCAGCCACACUGGAACUGAGACACGGUCCAGACUC
rnacentral:rRNA from 1 species